GUCAGCUUUUAUUUGUUUUUCCAUACACCACUCAUACCACACUCCCCUCCCUCCCUGCCUCUCCAUGACAGUUGUGCAGUUGUGGAGUUGUGGAGCAGAAAGAGCCGCAUCAUUGUUACCAAUUUCGAAUUCAAACUGAAAUUCACACGCGUCACGCUGUGGUGCAGAAAGCGCUUGAUCUGUGGCGCGGGUUGUUAGCAUAUUUUCCAACCAGCCAGCACCGCACCAGACGAAACUAAAUUCUUGUUAUAUUAAAUGUAAUGCCACCACAGAAAUCCCUAAAGCCGAGCCAAGACCACAGGCAAAGGCGAAGGCGAAGGGAAAUAGAUACCCGAUUGUGGAGGAAGUCCUUCAUUUCAAUCUGUUGAAAUCCCACACAAAGUCGCAAAGGAAAACACACACUGAAAGGGGAAAUUCAAGUGGAAAUUACUCAAUUACAGACCGGCACAGAAUGACCCUCCCUCGGGUUGACUCUUCGAAUUGCUUUUGCACUCAUCCUUGCUGGAAACCCUACAAAUCGAAGUAGAAAGACACACAUUCGAUGUAUGCGAUAAUUACAGUCCGUAAUAAUGGGGGAGAGGAUACAAUGCGACAAUUAUGUAACCCGAUAAUCGCCAAGGAGUGUGGAAAAACUGAGACAAAACUUGUGAAAUUAAUAACUUCACAGACAUUCCCCCCUCACACACUCCACACACUCGUCUCGCUUUGGCCAAACAUAUUUAUUACAAAUAAAGAGACAAACACAAAAGGC
rnacentral:lncRNA from 1 species